CGGGUCGUGUAAGUAGUCGAGUAGCCUUGUUGUUACGAGCUACUGAGCGUAAGCCCGAUGCUAGCUUGGUUGAAA
rnacentral:rRNA from 2 species